GAUGAAGAACGUAGCGAAAUGCGAUAAGUAAUGUGAAUUGCAGAAUUCAGUGAAUCAUCGAAUCUUUGAACGCACAUUGCGCCCCCUGGUAUUCCGGGGGGCAUGCCUGUCCGAGCGUCAUUACAACCCUCAAGCUCAGCUUGGUGUUGGGCCCCGCCGCCCCGGCGGGCCCUAAAGUCAGUGGCGGUGCCGUCCGCUCCGAGCGUAGUAAUUCUUCUCGCUCUGGAGGUCCGGUCGUGUGCUCGCCAGCAACCCCCAAUUUUUUUCAGGUUGACCUCGGAUCAGGUAGGGAUACCCGCUGAACUUAAGCAUAUCAAUAAGCGGAGGA
rnacentral:misc_RNA from 1 species